CCUACGGGUGGCAGCAGUGAGGAAUAUUGGUCAAUGGGCGAGAGCCUGAACCAGCCAAGUCGCGUGAGGGAGUACUGCCCUAUGGGUUGUAAACCUCUUUUGUCGGGGAGCAAAAGCCGGACGUGUCCGGCUGUGAGAGUACCCGAAGAAAAAGCGUCGGCCAACUCCGUGCCAGCAGCAGCGGUAAUACGGAGGAUGCGAGCGUUAUACGGAUUUAUUGGGUUUAAAGGGUGCGCAGGCGGAUUUUUAAGUCAGCGGUAAAAUCGUGGGGCUCAACCCCAUCGAGCCGUUGAAACUGGGGAUCUAGAGUGUGCGAGAGGUAUGCGGAAUGCGUGGUGUAGCGGUGAAAUGCAUAGAUAUCACGCAGAACCCCGAUUGCGAAGGCAGCAUACCGGUGCACAACUGACGCUCAGGCACGAAAGCGUGGGUAUCGAACAGGAUUAGAUACCCGAGUAGUC
rnacentral:rRNA from 1 species